UCCGCUGCCGCCCCAAGGCUGCCGGUCGCCGAGCGCGACCGGGAGGUGGAAUCCGUCUGCCAGAGGGCAUCCCUUUCCAGUUUGGGGGCCCAGUUGCAGAGCCGAGCAUCCCACCCACCAGUCUCACCUAAGACCCCUGUAGGGGUAGAAAAGAGAGGAACUACCACGAGGAGACCCGACAACGAGCCAGGGACCCGCGGGAAGACAUAAAAAGGGGUUUGAGAAGACUCUUGCUAUGUCCCUGAUCAGUUGAGAGCUUUGGGAGUAAGGGGAUAAAAAGAUCUGGAAAGUGCUGCUCUGAGUGUGGGAAGGAGAGGCUGGAGUGUCGCUGCCAGUUAUGCAUACACUCAGGUGAGCCAACCUAUACUAAACGAACAGGCAUUACACAUAAAACCACCCUCCUGCGUUCCACCUCAGGAGACUGAGGCAUACCUAAGUAAAUUAUGCUACCAGGAAGAGUGGCUCCAGUCUGAUCCAGUGGCAGAGAAAACCCUGGCUGUGUUGGGCUUCCUUAGAAAUGGAAUGUUGCCCUCCAAAACAGUGCUUCAGGAACUUCUGCGGUAGUUUUACCUUUGCCGAUAAAGCUUCUGAGACAGUGGGACAAGUAACAGAUUACAUCAAACUUCAGAACUUCUCAAAUAUCUAGUUAUUAUACACAUUCCCAUCUGUCUUGCAGGGAGGGAUCUUGGUCGGCUUAAGAGUUUCAGAUAUAGACAGUGGGGCAGAAGAAAAGGUGGCUACACUUUAAAUCAUAAAUCUUCACAACAGCUUUAAAAGAAAAACAAAACAGAAUUUGCCUUGUCCUACCAUCAGAGAAACAAGCAGUCGGCUCUUGGAAGCAAAUUCUAAAGACUAUUAUUACAGCCCAUGUGUGAAAUAUUACGGAUUCUACGGCAACCCCUUUGACUGUGCUGUUCUCCAGACACGUGUGCUGCUGCAGUUACACAGACAGAGAAGCUUCUCAAACAUUGCAUGAACAGGUGGGCAGGUCUUGUAAAAGGGAAAGUAUGUACAUCUUUGUAGAAAAUUUUUUACAAUGAGGGGUUGGAAACUUUAAAAUAGCAGAUAUUUUUAUGUAUAUCGCCUACUGAGGCAAAAAAGGGUGGCAGACAUGACUUACACAUUUAAUAAAGAAUACUGUUUAUCAUCA